rnacentral:rRNA from 1 species
CCUUCGGAGGGUGGAACUGGGGGAGGGACCAUUA